AAUUUCUCAGUUGCAGAGGCAGAGAGGAAGAAAGGUCCAAUGCAUACUUGUCUUCCUUCCUUUGCAGUCUGUGCAUAUGCUAGUCUGAAAGCAGUAAUCCACUUUACCAAAUCAAGUUAUUUUUAAAAAAUUUUCUGGGAACUGAAGCUGCUGUACCUUUUUCUAAGGUUUCUAAAUAAUAAACAUUUGAAUUUGGUUCUGUGAAAUGAAAUUAUUCUGUUGAGGAGGACGGUUGCUGGUUUGUUCCAGUCUACAGCUGAGAGAGGCUUUCCCACUCAAUCUCUUCUUUUAUGCCAUUUCUUGGAUUUGCAGGUCUCUCUUCUGUCUCCCACUCUUCAAACUUUCUGGACCUCUACACUCUACUUGGUAUUUUCUCAAUUGUUUGUGUGUUAAUGCUGCCGAGAGGGAAAAAUUCCUAAAAGAAGGAGAGGCAAUUUGACUGUGCUGUUUUGUGCUUGCACUUUGCCUAGGCUGACCAUCCAGCAAGUGGGUAAACAAAAAGCCACAAGCAGUCCUGGAAAAUGGAAACUCUGCCCCUUUAUCUGUUACAAAGCUGCACCAGUCUGCUGAGUGCAAAAAAUGCAUUGUUCAGUAAACCCAGCGAAGACCAUAAGAAGUAUCUUUGGGCCGACAUCCGUGCAUUCAGUUUCCAAGAUCAAACUUUAUAUGCAUGUGUUAAAGACAGUUUCAACUCACAGCAACUCAAUACUUUUAUAUCAAAUUUAGUUGAUUUUGUAUUUGUGAUCUUCGCUAAUGUACCAGGAAAAUUAUAUUUGUAAAAGCACAGGCGUAAAG
rnacentral:lncRNA from 7 species